rnacentral:lncRNA from 1 species
CACCGCUUCUGCGUUGAUUUCCGCUUGACUUUUACUCUUUUCUUGGGUUAAAAAUCAAACGCCGACCCGAGGCGUCAGAGAUGGGCGGUCGUUAGGCGCAGUGGCGGCCCCCGGAUGUUUGCGAUGGGACGGCGGGCUCGGAACGUGUGGACGUGGGCUUUGGAGACAGCGUCUCACCCUGUCGCCCAGGCUGGAGUGCAACGGCACAAUCUCGGCUCACUGCAACCUCCACCUCCAGGGUUCAAGCAAUUCCCCUGCCUCAGCUUCCCAAGUAGCUGGGAUUACAGGCACACACCACCACACCUGGCUAAUUUUUUGCAUCUUUGGUAGAGACGGGGUUUCACCAUGUUGGCCAGGCUGGUCUUGAUCUCCUGACCUCGUGAUCCAUCUGCCUUGGCCUCCCAAAGUACUGGGAUUACAGGCGUUAGCCACCGCGCCCUGCCUCACUAGUCUUUUCAAGAAAGAAGCUUUUAGAUGUGGAUUUAUUAUCUGUUAAUUCUCAUUUUCAUCUUCAUUAUUUCCUUUUUGCUACUUUUAUUUGGAUAUUUUCUAGGAUUCUUCCUAAUCUCUUGGGUUGGAUGCUUAACACUUACAUUUCCAUUGAUCCUGUUUUCCUAAUAGAGGCAUUUGGGGUAAUGCAUUUUCCAGUAAGUGCCACUUUAGAUUAUAUCCCAUUUUGUGUGGUGUCCUAUAUCAGUUAAACCCACCGUAUUCAUUGUAUAAAUCAAAUUUUUCAUAUACUUACUGUAUUAGUCCAUUUUCACGCUGCUGAUAAAGACAUACCCAAGACUGAGUAAUUUAUAAAGUAAAAGAGGUUUAAUGGACUCACAGUUCCAUGUGGCUGGGGAGGCCUCAUAAUCAUGGUGGGUGAAAGGCACUUCUGACAUGCUGGUGGCAAGAGAGAAUCAGAGCACCAAGCAAAAAGGAAACCCCUUGUCAAAUCACCAGAUCUCAUGAGACUUAUUCACUACCAUGAGAACAGUAUCAGGGAAACCACUCCCAAGAUUCAGUUAUCUCCCACUGGGUCCCUCCCACAAUAUGUGGGAAUUGUGGGAGCUGCAAUUCAAGAUGAGAUUUGGGUGGGGACAUAGCCAAAACAAGUUAUCUCCCACCAGGUCCCUCCCACAUGUGGGAAUUAAGGGAGCUGCAAUUCAAGAAGAGAUUUGGGUGGGGACACAGCCAAACCAGAUCACUUACCAAUUAUGUGCUGUCCUGCUCUAUCAAUUCCUAAGAAAAGUGUGCAAAAAUUUCCAAAUGGUAAUGUGGAUUUGUAGUUUAUUCCUCUAAUUGUCCUAUUUUGUAUAAUACAUUCUUUGGUCUAUGUUAAUUUGAAAUUUUGAACAUAGAAUCAUUAUAUCUUCAUAGAAAAUUGUACUUUUAUCCUUAUAUAAUGACCCUUUUUAUUCCUAACGAUGGUUUCCCUAAAGCUUAUGUUACCCAAUUAAUGUUUGCCAGGUAUAUAUUUUUCCACUCAUACUCACUUUUUAUAACAUUUUUAUGCAUUUAUUUUAUAAACAUAUACAUGGAAUAUUUUAAAGCAUAAUGCGACAUUCUGCUUUUAAACCGAUGAGUUUAUAUGAUUUGUGAUUAUUGAUACAGUUGGCUGGGUGCGGUGGCUCACGCCUGUAAUCCCAGCAUUUUGGGAAGCCGAGGUGGGCAGAUUACUAGGUCAGGAGAUCGAGACCAUCCUGGCUAACAUGGUGAACCCCCAUCUCUACUAAAAAUACAAAAAAUUAGCCGGGUGUGGUGGUGGGUGCCUGUAAUCCCAGCUACUCAGGAGGCUGAGGCAGGAGAAUGGCGUGAACCCGUGAGGCAGAGCUUGCAGUGAGCCAAGAUGGCACCACUGCACUCCAGCCUGGGCGACAGAGCGAGACUCCGUCUCAAAAAAAAAAAAAAAAAAAAAAAAGAUUAUUGAUACAGUUAUGUUUAUUUCUAUCAUUUUACUUUUUGCUUUCCAUUGGCCUUGUGUUUUUUGUCCCUUAUUAUUUUCUAUCUUCUUUUGGAUUUAAUCAAGCUUUCUCACUUCCAUUUUCAAUAUCUAUUCUUUAAGUGUUAAUGUUAAGGUGUUUGCUAUGUAUACAAGACUUAACAAAGUCUAAAGGUAAUCACUUAAUCUGCUCUCUCCAUAACCAACAGAGAGGCAUCCCAAUUUUUUUUUUUUUUUUGAGGCAGAGUUUUGCUCUUCUUGCCCAGGCUGGAGUGCGAUGGCGCGAUCUCAACUCACUGCAACCUCUUCCUCCCAGGUUCAAGCAUUUCUCCUGCCUCAGCCUCCUGAGUAGCUGGGAUGACAGGUGCCUGACACCACGCCCAGCUAAUUUUUGUAUUUUUAGUAGAGACUGGGGUUUCUCCAUGUUGGUCGGGCUGGUCUCGAACUCCUGACCUCAGGUGAUCCACCAGCCUCGGCCUCCCAAAGUGCUGGGAUUACAGGUGUGAGCCACCACGCCUGGCUCCAAUUUUUUUUUUUUUUUUUUUGAGACAGAGUUUUCACUCUUGUUGCCCAGGCUGGAAUGCAGUGGCACAGUCUUGGCUCACUACAACUUCCACCUCCCAGGUUCAAGCGAUUCUCCUGCCUCAGCCUCCCAAGUAGCUGGAAUUACACACACCCACCACCACAGCUGGCUAAUUUUUUGUAUUUAGUAGAGAGAGGGUUUCACCAUGUUGGUCUGGCUGGUCUGGAAUUCCUGACCUCAGGUGAUCUGUCUGCCUUGGCCUCCCAAAGUGCUGGGAUUACAGGCGUGAGCCACUGCACCCAGCGUCCCAACAUUUUUAUCUCUGAUCAUCCUGAACACAUACCAUGUUACUCACUGUUUUAGUUCUGCGUUAUUUUUGUUGCAUAACCAGUAACAUAACAUUAUUAUUGUUAGUUUACAUAGCCAAUACUAGUUUAGGUUCACAUGUAUUACCUCUUGGCUUCACCCACUACUUUUCUCUGAUGGCAAUCUUUGGAAGUUCCUUCAUUGAGGGUUUAUUAGUGGUAAACUCUUUAUCUUUGCUGUGGUGCAGUGUCUAGAAUUUUUGUUAAGUGAAGGUUUUACAUUUAAAUCUUCAUCUAUUAAGUUUGAAUAUGGGAUGAGUUAUGGAUUGAGGUUCAUUUGUUUUGUAUAUUGACUUUCAAUUGUUGCAGCACCAUUUUUUUAAACCACUAUUUUCAUUGAUUUGCCCUUGCAACUUUGUCAAAAAUCAAUUGACCAUAUACACGAAGGUCUAUUUAUGUAUUCUCAAUUAUGGUCCAUGAUCUAUGUGUUUAUCCUUUCUCUGACACAAUGUUUAGAUUGCUGUAUCUUUACAGUAAGUUUCGAAGUCAGGGAGUGCGAGUCUUCCAGCUCUGUUCCUCUUUGACAAAAGAUGUUUUGGCUAUUCUAGUUUCUUCUGCUUUUCCAAAUAAAUUUGAUUAACUUGUUAAUGUCUACAAAAACUCCUGCUGGAAUUUCCAUUGGGAUCGCAAUAAAUUUAUAGGUAAAUCUAGAGAGAACUGACAUUCUACUAUUUAUUGUUCCAAACCACAAAUAUGAUACAUAUUUCCAUUUAUUUAGGAUUUGGAUUUCCCUUAUUUCUCUCAUAAGCGUUUUGACGUUUUCAACAUACAGAUCUUUUAUAACAACACUUACCCACUUCCCACCAUUCUACCCCCAUUCCUAAACCUUGGCAACACAAGAAUCUGUCCUCCAUUAAAAAUGUUAUGAUUUCAGAAAUGUUAUAUAAAUGGAAUAAUACAAUAUGCAACCUUAUGGGACUGAUUUCUUGCAUUUGGUGUACUUCUCUAGAGAUUAAUCCAAGUUUUUGUGUGUAUCAGUAGUCCAUUUAUUUUCCUGAAUAGCAUUCCAUAUGUGUGUGCCACAAUUUGUUUAACCAUUUACCUUAUUCUCAGUUUUUGGCUGUUCAAAUAAACUGAUAUUAAUCUGUG